rnacentral:tRNA from 1 species
AGCAGUGUGGCUCAGUGGAAAGAGCACGGGCUUGGAGUCCGCGGUCAUGGGUUCGAAUCUCGGCUCUGCCA